GACGAACGCUGGCGGCGUGCUUAACACAUGCAAGUCGAACGGAAAGGCCCUGCUUUUGUGGGGUGCUCGAGUGGCGAACGGGUGAGUAACACGUGAGUAACCUGCCCUUGACUUUGGGAUAACUUCAGGAAACUGGGGCUAAUACCGGAUAGGAGCUCCUGCUGCAUGGUGGGGGUUGGAAAGUUUCGGCGGUUGGGGAUGGACUCGCGGCUUAUCAGCUUGUUGGUGGGGUAGUGGCUUACCAAGGCUUUGACGGGUAGCCGGCCUGAGAGGGUGACCGGCCAAAUGGGGACUGAGAUCCGGCCCAGCCCCCUACGGGGGGCAGGAGGGGGGAAUAUUGCAAAAGGGGCGGAAGCCGGAGGCAGAAACCCCGGGGGCGGGAGGACGGCCUUCGGGUUGAAAACCGCUUUCGCCUGUGACGAAGGGUGGGGGGCGGGAAUGGGUAAAGAAGCACCGGCAAACUACGG
rnacentral:rRNA from 1 species